UAGAGACUAUCACUUCUGAUAGAGUCAUCACUACAAGUCUCAUUGUUAUAUUGCAUUCAUUAUUCUAUUUCUAUUUUUGCUCAUUUCUGACUUGUGUGUUUUCCUUUUGGAAGGAGUUCUUGUGCUUAUCCUGCAUCUGACUGUGAAUUCAAUGUGGAAAAAUAUUCUCUUUGUUUUUUGAGGUUUUUUUUGGCCUCAGUUAGAGACAUGUUAAAUGGCCAUCUGGCAACAUGACUCCCCUUCAAACUUUUGCAAAAGGAAACCCAUUUAGCAGGUGCAUGCUAAACUAUUGGCAAGUUAUUGACAAAUGAAAAAAGAGGUCAGCCUAGACUGACAUGAGCACCCUCCUGAGAAAAAGCAUUACAUGCCUUAUUAAACAGAAAAUUGACAGUCAGAAGACACAGUCUCAAAAGCCAGACAUGUAUUUCUAGAUGUGGUUUUUUUUUAAGUACAAAGAUUAGUAUGUCAGAAAUAGAAAUUACAAAGACGUGAGUACUGAGUUUUCCAUUUAUUCUUUUGUACUCUACUACAUAAAGCAUUUGUCUGGGAAAAAAAAAAAAAAAAAGAUUGAGCAGUAAUCUAAAUGAGGCGUCUUCAAUUACACUGCAAUUCUAAGUUAAUCACUUCCAGGCACAUAAACUUUGUAUAACAAAAGAUGUGUCCAGAUAUGUAUAAAAGAUUAGCACAAACAAGAUAAUUUUCCUCAUAGUGACUGUAAUAAUGCUCUGUUUUGGAUUUAGGAGAAAAAACAAUUUUGUUAAAACACUGAUGCUUUAGUUGUUGUUGAGAAGUGCUUACACUAACUCAUUAACUUCUCACACUGUCCCAAUACCAGAAAUGAGCUGAGGGUGCGCAGGGGGCGGCCACAACCAGGACACUUGAUCUAAAUUGGACAAAUGGAUAUCCCACAUCUUAUGGCAUCAUACUGAACAAUAAAACUCAAAGUUGUCUAGGAGACCUGCCACUGCUCAGAGACUGACUGGACAUUGAUCAGCUGAUGCCAGCUGACUGUUAAAGCUGACAGAAGAUUUAGAGCAUGGAAACAAAGAAGAGGAUUUGUGAUUAUGGAGGAAAGGAAAUGAAAUAGAAGUGGAGCUGUUUUUUAAGCCCCAGUAUAUAUGUUGUAAAUCUACAGAAGACAUUUGAGAAGACUGUUGUUGAUCGGUUUUGCAAGAAGAUAUAGCCCCAGAGUUAAUUAUCAGAGGAGUCUGAUUAACACAAAUCAUUUCACUUGUUACACCUACUUUCCACAGCAAUUGUUCCAGAAAAUGCUGCAUAAUCAUUUGUCCACCUUUUCAGGCUCUAUCAAGAGGGUUGUAAUCUGCGUGUACAGAAUACCAACUUUUAAGACAGAAAUAAAAGAGAAGAGGGAAGAUAUUUAACACUACAGAUAUUUGGAUGUGUGCUAAGCUCUUGUAUAGAAUUGCUUAGAAAGAUAAGAGGAAUUUGGAUCAAGUGUGAAUUCUGUAAUCCAA